rnacentral:tRNA from 1 species
GGAGAGAUGCCGGAGCGGUUUAUCGGAGCGGUCUUGAAAACCGUCGUGGGUCACACCACCGGGAGUUCGAAUCUCCCUCUCUCCGCCA